GACGAACGCUGGCGGCGUGCCUAAUACAUGCAAGUAGAACGCUGAAGGAAGAGCUUGCUUCUCUGGAUGAGUUGCGAACGGGUGAGUAACGCGUAGGUAACCUGCCUGGUAGCGGGGGAUAACUAUUGGAAACGAUAGCUAAUACCGCAUAAUAGCAGUUAUUGCAUGAUAACUGUUUGAAAGGUGCAAUUGCACCACUACCAGAUGGACCUGCGUUGUAUUAGCUAGUUGGUGGGGUAACGGCUCACCAAGGCGACGAUACAUAGCCGACCUGAGAGGGUGAUCGGCCACACUGGGACUGAGACACGGCCCAGACUCCUACGGGAGGCAGCAGUAGGGAAUCUUCGGCAAUGGACGGAAGUCUGACCGAGCAACGCCGCGGGAGUGAAGAAGGGUGUCGGAUCGUAAAGCUCGGUUGUAAGAGAAGAACGAGUGUGAGAGUGGAAAGUUCACACUGUGACGGUAUCUUACCAGAAAGGGACGGCUAACUACGUG
rnacentral:rRNA from 1 species